UACGGGGGGGGCAAGCGUUGUUCGGAAUUACUGGGCGUAAAGGGCUCGUAGGCGGCCAACUAAGUCGGAUGUGAAAUCCCUCGGCUUAACCGGGGAACUGCGUCUGAUACUGGAUGGCUUGAGUUUGGGAGAGGGACGCGGAAUUCCAGGUGUAGCGGUGAAAUGCGUAGAUAUCUGGAGGAACACCGGUGGCGAAGGCGGCGUCCUGGACCAACACUGACACUGAGGAGCGAAAGCCAGGGGAGCAAACGGG
rnacentral:rRNA from 1 species